UACAGAGGUCUCGAGCGUUAGGCGGAAUCACUGGGCUUAAAGCGUGUGUAGGCGGACGCCUAAGUGUCUUGUGAAAUCCCUCGGCUCAACCGAGGAACUGCGCCCAAUACUACCGUGCUCGAGGGAGAUAGAGGUGAGCGGAACUUAGGGUGGAGCGGUGAAAUGCGUUGAUAUCCUAAGGAACACCGGUGGCGAAAGCGGCUCACUGGAUCUCUUCUGACGCUGAGGCACGAAAGCUAGGGUAGCGAACGGG
rnacentral:rRNA from 1 species